rnacentral:rRNA from 1 species
UAGGGAAUAUUGCACAAUGGGCGAAAGCCUGAUGCAGCAACGCCGCGUGCACGAUGAAGGCCUUCGGGUCGUAAAGUGCUUUUCUGGGAGAUGAGAAAGGACAGUAUCCCAGGAAUAAGUCUCGGCUAACUACGUGCCAGCAGCCGCGGUAAAACGUAGGAGGCGAGCGUUAUCCGGAUUCACUGGGCGUAAAGCGCGUGCAGGUGGCUUGGUAAGUUAGGCGUGAAAUCUCCCGGCUCAACUGGGAGAGGUCGUCUAAUACUACCGGGCUAGAGAACAGAAGAGGAAGAUGGAAUUCCCGGUGUAGUGGUGAAAUGCGUAGAUAUCGGGAGGAACACCAGUGGCGAAGGCGAUCUUCUGGUCUGUUCUGACACUCAGACGCGACAGCUAGGGUAUAAACGGGAUUAGAGACCCCGGUAAUCCUAGCCGUAAACGAUGUGAACUUGGCGUUGGUGGGUUAAACUCCAUCAGUGCCGAAGCAAACGCG